rnacentral:lncRNA from 1 species
AGAACAGAGGUCCAAACCAAAGGAAAACCUUUGGUUUAAACCUCCAACUAGUAAAUUCUAACUUUAUCUACUCAGACAAUCUAUGUUCAUUCAAAGUAAACCAAGAGUAGAUAGAUAUAUGAUGAAAGAAAUUGAAACUGAUCCGAAAUAAUCAAAUCAUUUAGAAUCCAGUCAAAACAGCUAAAUUAAAAGUCUAGGAAAUUUCAGUUUCAGUUUUGAUUUUAGAGUAAAAUUGAACAAGAAUAAACCAAGCUAAACAAAGUAUAUGCAAAGAUUAUACUACCCUUUAUCCAAACAAAAGGUAGUGUUAUGCUAGAACUGUUAAGUCAACUAUCUAAAACUAGUUAUGUUUUUGAUUUUGCUCUUGUAUACAAUUUGAUAAGUCAACUUAUCUCUUGACGAAAACAUCCAAGGACCAGUCCUGUUUUGCACCUCCUUCCGGUUUACUCCAGGUUUUCGGCAAAAGUAGUACUAAUGUCGAGCACUAAACGUGGAAAGAAAACAUUCUUGGUUUAACCCCGGAAUUGGGGUGAUGAGUUUGUCCUCAACGGACUAAUAAACUAACCGGCAGGACCAAAUUUAUGUCAUUUUCUUUUCUAUAAUUUCAGUCUCAACUCAGUUUUCCUAUGCAUAAACUUAAUAUUUUCUCCAGUAUUAUAACAUGUGCAGGUCCCCUUAUGUUGUUUUUUGUCAUUAAGCAUAGGGAUUAAUUCCUUUACAUAAUUUGUAUCAAAAUUGGCUUUAUCCGUACCGUAUUUGUCCUAGUUUGUAUUGAAUUUCUGUGUAUUUUUUUAGUAUCCUUUAAGCAAAUAGAAAUUUCUUAUGUAAUAUAAUCCUAUUAUAUUCACCAUUUCUUUAUUUCCGGGUCCUGAUUGUAUGUUAUAUAUCUCCCCAGAAGUUCAAUAAUUUUUGUGUUACCGCUACUAUAACAUCAUAUGUGGGCUAUACUAUUCCAUUACUAACUGUUGAAACGUGUUCUUUGACAUUAUUUCACCCAAACUAUAUCUAGUAUAGAACUUCAAAACAAUCAUAACAUUGAAACCAAAUCAUAUUUUAUUCUCUCGACAAUACUAGUCAAAAUCCAACACUAAAAAACUUAUUUCCAGGCCUUUACCGGCCUUAUUUACAAACUAUUAUUUAACAAAUGCUGAGGAUUCCAACUGCUACUCUUGACUGCUUUUAUUAAGUUUCCCCUUUAUUUUCCUGCUAAUCAAAGAUAAACCAUUCCUCUUUCACCUCAGGUUAAUUCAAUUUAUUCUGAUCAUUUCUUCUUAAAUUGUGGUGUGUUAUCUUCCUGUCCUUCCUUUUGCACCCUUUUUGGUAGACUCUGGCGACCAUUGCCCGCCUCAUCCACCGCUUCCUUUUUGUUUUUUAUGUUUGUUGCAAUACUUACACUUUCACCUGUGACAUCAAAAUAAAACCCAGUUAUUGCUUUUCCAAGUUUCUCUGAGACCUAUUAUGCAUUUCUAUUAUCCACAUUAAUUACCAUAACUUGUAACUCCAGUUUUCAGCCGCUUGGCAUUAGAGUCCACUAUUUGUGUUUUUAGAGCCAUUUGAGAAGAGUCAUCAAACACUGGUGUCUGCUUAGUGUUUACCUCCUGUUCUUGUCAUACCACCUGAUAGGGACAGUAGUUCAACCCAGUAGCUUUUAGCGAAACAGUAUACUGAAGUGUUGGGUUUUGUCCCCUCUCCAGCUCUUCAAGUAACGCUGCACAAUCUUUCUAGAUAUGAUUUAUGUGACCACAAAAGGAGCAGAACUUAGAUAGCCUCUCAUAUCGGAAUGAGACCCAUAUAUUGUCCUUGUUCUUGUCUAAAUUCAGAAAUUUUCCCGUAAGUAGAGCUUUUGUGGAGUCCAAGCAUACUCUAAACCGCAUGAAGCUGCUUUGGUGUGUGGGGUCAAACUCCAUAAAUUCGCCCAUUGAAUUGGCUAUUUCUUUACCCAACUUUUCGCCAAAAGGCUUUGCAAGGAGACCUGGAGGGAUCCCGUGUACUUGUACCCAGAAGGGGAUCUUCUGGAAAGAUUCAGCAGUUAUUUGAGUCAUAGCAUCAGCCUCAAUCAAGAUUAGAUAACUUCCUCCGAAGGCCCAUGGUUGCCCUCUAAUUCUUCUAUUCUUAACCGCUUCUGACUCAAAUUUCAGAAUAAUAAUGCCAUCAGUAUAGUCCUCUAGCUUCACACCUGCUUUACUCUGCCAUAUAGACUCGAACAUGUUCUUCGGCCCAAUCUUGUUAAUAGCUCUUCCUGAUAGCAUUCUUGCAUAGAUGACUUUUGGGAGCUCUGAUUCACUGUACUCCAAGACAUUAGAUGGAUUGGUGAUAACUUCAAGCUCAUUGGACUUUAGCUGUAGUUUCAAAGUAUCACCCUCAGUUAAUGGGAUUGUUUCCUUAUCCAUACUGAGAAAUGUUUAUUCUUUUGUAUAAAGUGUUGGUGGAGAGAGGUGGUUGUAAGUAAGAUGUUUAGCUUAUAGUUUAUUUAUAUUCGUACAUACCCAAAAUUAAUCCUAAAUUUCGGCUUUGAAAAUGAGAUCAUGAUUAUAUAGAAUUUGUGUUAAUUAUAACCUUCCUUAACAGACUCAGUCUGUCUAAAAUCAGAUAUUCAUAAUAAGUUUCAACCAUCCAUUACGGAAUUUUAGGGAUCCAACUUUAAAGAUUUGUAUUCUGGUUUUUAGUUGGUGAAUUUGAAACCCACAAUUUUAAAUUACCUUCUGAAUCACGUUUCUGAUUCGUUUUAGAACCCCAUCAUUAUAAAUGGGAGUAUGUAAUAUUACAUGAUUCAAAUUAAACUCUCUGACCUGAAAUAACUCCAAAUUGCUCGUGAGAACAAAAUAGUCCAUCAUAGAUAAACUUUAUUAUGUUAAUAAGUGUAGAAAACUCUGGUUAUCAUUUCAUGUUUUUUAGAUAAGGUUCUAACUAUAAAACUAGUAAGUAUAACCUAUGACAUUUGUUAAAUAUUUAAACUCACUCACACAUUCCCUCUUACCUUAUCAUGAGUCAGCUUACUACACUUUAAUAAUAAUUAAGUUAUAGUAAUCUAUUCCUUAAAUGUUCCCCCAACAGUUCGUUGAUUCCCGCCUAACCCUUUUCAGAGUUAGGUUUAUUCAAAUUUUAGGUACCCUCAUGGUUUUAAAUAUACCCUUAGUCAAUACUUAAUUCUAUAUUCCGUCUAGGAAACUCCAUAAUUCUAGUCCUUAAAAACCUUCUUAAUCUAUACUUAUUGUAAUUUGACUAUCUCUCUCCACUUAGUCCCCGAUUUUAGCUAAGUAUGAAAUUGAGCAUCUCUAUUCACCCUGAUUAAAAGAGGUCUUAACACCUGAUAUGCCAGAAUAUUAAAUUUCAAUCUUUUGUAUAGGCUUUCCUUCUAUAUCCUUUU